rnacentral:rRNA from 1 species
CAGUAGCCGCGGGAAAACAGAGGGUGCGAGCGUUAAUCGGAUUUACUGGGCGUAAAGCGUGCGUAGGCGGCUUUUUAAGUCGGAUGUGAAAUCCCUGAGCUUAACUUAGGAAUUGCAUUCGAUACUGGGAAGCUAGAGUAUGGGAGAGGAUGGUAGAAUUCCAGGUGUAGCGGUGAAAUGCGUAGAGAUCUGGAGGAAUACCGAUGGCGAAGGCAGCCAUCUGGCCUAAUACUGACGCUGAGGUACGAAAGCAUGGGGAGCAAACAGGAUUAGAUACCCCCGUAGUCCCUGUCUCUUAUAC